AUAUCGGCAGUGUAUCAAAUACUUGUUCUCCCCACUGUAUGUACCUAAUUUUCUACUUUUCAAACAAUGCACCAACCUGUCUGUAGUAAAAACCCACAUAGGAAUUAUCAGUUAAGUUAUUAUCCUGGAGUAAAUCUAUAUGUUUUAUUAAAUGAUCCACCGAUCCCUCCCUCCCAUCCACCAUAUUCCUCACCCCUCCCUGAACUUCCAUACUUGCCUGUUUUACAGACUACUCAUUACUACGAUUGAUAUUCCCAAACCUUUUCUUCUUCUCUCUAUUAUAGCUCUGCGUGAAUGUUUCCUGUCAUCUCUCUAUGAAAGGUAAAUCAUAUAAAUGCAUACCCAUGUCUCCCUGUACUGUAUUUCCUGGCGAAUUGAGCUUCUGACCUUCAAUUUACCCUCACUUCACAAUUUCCUGUUCUUCGCUAAAAGUGUUUUGAUUUCUUGCACAUUUUGUUAUUUUCGCACUUCUCUCGCCACUCUCUUUCAGUCCUCCUUUUUAAUCAAAGCCUCCCUCCUUGGCUUUUGUUGCCUUAACCUACCUCCCGCCCACGCGCUCCAUUCCGCCUCCUAAUUUCCUCUCUCUCUCCGUACUGCGGCAUAAUCCAGGAUGUAAGUUAAAUAUCGUACUUUUUCCACAUGAAAGUUUUAUGCAGAAAAGCACCUCGGCAUCAUUGCUAGCAACGCGUCAAUGCGUUUUCUCCACGGACAAUUGCAUUAGUCAUUACCCACAGAGCUGUGUACUGAAAGUCACCAUGUAGAGGUGCAAAAAAGUGCACUUGAUCAAUUUUCAGAUCUCUAUCAUAUUCCUCCCACGCUUAUGUGUGUGUGAAAACAUGUUAUUUCUAACUUGUUAUUGUCUAAGCACGCACUCAUACACUCAUGCAAGUAGUACGCACACAUCUCAGGACCUUAAAAAAGACAUCAGCAGUCUAAUUCCAUACUAUGGAGCUGUCCAAAACCUAAUGAACACACAGACACACGCACACGCACACACACACACACACACGCACACACGCACGCACGCACACACAGCUGUCCUAAGCCUAAUUAACAUGGGCAGGCAGUGUAUUAGGCAGGUGUGAGAUGACUAGCCUUCCUUGUAAUAAUGUCUCUAUUACUGAUCUGAUUUACCAGAGAUGCUGGGAUGGAGAAUUUAAUAGAAACUGCAGCCAUAUCCGCUUCACAGAAAAUACAAAGUAUAAGUGAAAAUAAAGGGCAUUACAGUGGAUCAAAUGUAAGCCCUCUGAUUAUUCUGUGGCUGCCAUUUAUGGUUAUUCAGAAAAAGGAACUUUCACCAUGUGCUGUGCUAUUGUGAGAUUGGGCUGACUUAACCAGAUAUGACUAGACUUGUUUUGCCCUUCUUAACCAGAUAUGAUUAGAUUUGUUUUGCCCUUCUUAACCAGAUAUGACUAGACUUGUUUUUUCCUUCUGGAACUUUCCCCAUGUACAGUACUGUUACGUGGUGAUGUCACAUUGUGAGAUUGGGUCAGGUUUUUUGAGUAUGGAUUCAGUUCCACCAAGGAUGGCGAGCCGCCCAACCCAGGACAUCUGUAAGAAGAUUUGCAUGCAAAUAUUUAUUUUUCCUUUUCCUUGGAGGACACUGAAUUUGCACUGCCAUACUACGCUGUGAUAGGAUUCUUUGUUGCAAGACAUCAUUGCACCAUACAUAGUAGUCGGACUAUGAUAAGCACAUACCACAUUUAAACACCUUACAGUGUUGAUUGAUAUGCACAGUCACUCACAUUUGAUUCCAUCUCAUAGUGGUUUAUAAGUCAGUAUUUGUGAAUUGGGUUGUGUUUUUCUGUGGAUUCAUGUUUAUUGUAUUUGUAUUGAACUUUGAACAUUGAAAGCUGAGAUACCCUCAGAUUAAAAUAGAGUUAAGGUGCACCCUACUAAACUAUAUGUUGGAUAUGUGGUCGAUAUCUAAGAUGUAUUGAAUUCAUAUUGAGCUCAUUGUACAAAUUUCAUUCAUCAAUAUUUACUCAAGGUGAUGCUUUUUUUUUUUUAAGAAUUAAAAUUUACAAAAUUCAA